rnacentral:rRNA from 1 species
GUGGGGAAUUUUGGACAAUGGGCGCAAGCCUGAUCCAGCAAUGCCGCGUGCAGGAAGAAGGCCUUCGGGUUGUAAACUGCUUUUGUACGGAACGAAACGGCUCUGGUUAAUACCCGGGGCUAAUGACGGUACCGUAAGAAUAAGCACCGGCUAACUACGUGCCAGCAGCCGCGGUAAUACGUAGGGUGCAAGCGUUAAUCGGAAUUACUGGGCGUAAAGCGUGCGCAGGCGGUUGUGUAAGACAGGCGUGAAAGCCCCGGGCUCAACCUGGGAAUUGCGCUUGUGACUGCACAGCUGUAGUGCGGCAGAGGGGGAUGGAAGUCCGCGUGUAGCAGUGAAAUGCGUAGAUAUGCGGAGGAACACCGAUGGCGAAGGCAAUCCCCUGGGCCUGCACUGACGCUCAUGCACGAAAGCGUGGGGAGCAAACAGGAUUAGAUACCCUUGUAGUCC